CCCGUAGACGCUGUGGCGCUGGCGGCGUGCUUAACACAUGCAAGUCGAACGAUGAUCCCAGCUUGCUGGGGGAUUAGUGGCGAACGGGUGAGUAACACGUGAGUAACCUGCCCUUGACUCUGGGAUAAGCCUGGGAAACCGGGUCUAAUACUGGAUAUGACCUUCUGGCGCAUGCCAUGUUGGUGGAAAGCUUUAUUGCGGUUUUGGAUGGACUCGCGGCCUAUCAGCUUGUUGGUGGGGUAAUGGCCUACCAAGGCGACGACGGGUAGCCGGCCUGAGAGGGUGGACGGCCACACUGGGACUGAGACACGGCCCAGACUCCUACGGGAGGCAGCAGUGGGGAAUAUUGCACAAUGGGCGCAAGCCUGAUGCAGCGACGCCGCGUGGGGGAUGAAGGCCUUCGGGUUGUAAACCUCUUUCAGUAGGGAAGAAGCGAAAGUGACGGUACCUGCAGAAGAAGCGCCGGCUAACUACGUGCCAGCAGCCGCGGUAAUACGUAGGGCGCAAGCGUUAUCCGGAAUUAUUGGGCGUAAAGAGCUCGUAGGCGGUUUGUCGCGUCUGCCGUGAAAGUCCGGGGCUUAACUCCGGAUCUGCGG
rnacentral:rRNA from 1 species